rnacentral:lncRNA from 1 species
UAACAACUUGUGUAAUUCACCUUUCUACUACAAAUCCAAGGUAUGAAUUUCUCUAAUUUGAUAUUAAUUUCAUGAUUUAUUGACUCAAAACCCUAAAUCAUUGUGUGUCAAUUGUAUCCCCAAAAUUGAGUGCUUGACUCAAAUUUCUUGAGGGUUUUAACUCCCUAAAGGUAAUUAGGCUAUGGGUUGGUCUUGGAAACUCCUUUCCAAGGGUGAAACCCAUUUGGGGUUUUGGUGUCCACCCAUGGCACAAUGAUGCCAUAAAGGGUAUUUUUAUUCUUAUUGUAAUGCUUGGAGUGUAUUGUUGAUAGCAUUGAUCGUGGAUGGAAAAGCUUGUCGAAAAGGAAGGAAAAAGUUCGUUGAUUCGUGAGUUACUUGGAUUCAAGGUAGGUUAGGCUUACCCGUAGUAUAGAUUGAGCUUGUUUGUAAUGUAAUUAUUGAUAUCUUGCGAGAUUGGGUGGGGUACCUAGACGAUAGUUGAUUACAUGGUGAACUUGGGAUUUAUUGAUUGCUAUAGACUAUUAAAUUGUAAGGUAUGAUAUUUGAGCCUUAGUCUAGGACCUUGGUUAGCCUAUUUGUGGUCUCAUGACUAGCGUGAGAACAUUAUAGUUGUCCUAAGUAGACAUAAUUGGUAUACGUCUCUAUCCUUAGGAGUGUAUUGACCUAUAUAAUGCCUUGAUAGGAGAUGACCUCGAUGUUGGGUUGAUCUAGGAAGGAUUCUUGAAGAGACUUUUCCUAUGACCGAGAAAGGAUUGGUAAGCCCUUUUGGUGAGGUAUGAAUGACUUAGCCUAAUCCCCUGGUAGAAGCUAGACAUGUGUUAGUAUGCUUGGCAUUGGCAUUCUCGGGAUUUAGAAGUGGGAAUUGACCCACCUUAAGCUUGAACUAAGUAAAUACUUAACGACCUAGAUACUUGGUGAUUGUCCAAGAUACAUACAUAUGUGUAGGAGUUGUGAUGGUUGCACUCGAUUAUCGUAUUACCUAGUGAUCAUGACUUGAAUACCCUUGCUAAUUGAUUACUGUGCACGUUUGGUAAAUACCCAUGCCCUUGUUGAUGCUCAUAUUACGUGUGAAGCUUAUUAGUAAGUAAAAUGGCAACCGUUAUCCGACGUCCCUACUUCUAAAUAUAUAUUGUGAGCUUUUGUGUAUGCUUAUUGGUUUGGGUAUGCAUAUGGAUGUGUGUGGUUGUAAGUGGAGGAAUAUGUGAUAUUAUGAUGAUGCUCGAUUCGAGUUCGGAGGAAUAUGUGAUAUUAUGAUGAUGCCCGAUUCGAGUCUGGAGGAAUAUGUGAUAUUAUAAUGAUGCCUGAUUCGAGUCCGGAGGAAUAUGUGAUAUUAUGAUGAUGCCCGAUUCGAGACUGGAGAAAAAGUAUGAUAUUAUAAUUAUGCCCGGUUCGAGUCCGGAGGAAUACGUUGAUAGUGUAAUGAUGCCCGGUGAAUCCGGAAGAGGUAAGCACUCAUGAAACUUCUGGUGUUAUGCAUGGUACUGAUAAUAGUAACUAUGUACAAUUCUGUCGUAUGAUUUGUUAAGACUUAUGGUAUCUUCUGGUACUUUUUGUAAUCACUACUUAAAUUGCAUCCCUUUUCUUUUGUGGUUCUAUUUGAACCACUGUAUUAAGAGGACUGGUGGUUUUCUUCUUGUGGUUUGUUGGACACUUGAAUUUAUUAGUCCCUUCUCUCUAAAAAGGAAUGAUGCAGCUGUAUCGAGACUUAAAGCAUUUCUUUAUUUUGUUACCAUUUUGUUAAAUAUUCUAAAUAUUUUUAACUGUAAAAAUCAUGAAUUAUAAUACUUUUGAAGUACCUUUUAAAUAGAUAAUUUUAUUUAGAAGAGAUUGAUCUUGCAAAUUUGUCCCACGGAGAUGGUUGGUUGAGUUGUUUAGGCAUAAGAGUAACAACCUGAAUAUUAUUCUAGAUUGGGAUUCAAGCUGUAACAAUAUCUGUUCUAGCCUGACUGAGCACUGAACAGGAUUACCCAAUUCUCAUGCUUGUAGACUAUCAUAGGUUGUUUACUGGUUUAGUUGAGGUGUAAAGCUGAUUUCGGCACUAUCGUUAUUUAAAUAGUAGCGUAUAAAAGAGGGACUCAUCUUGUCCUUUACGUUUCUGCCAAGCGAAGUAGUCCUCAUAGAAUUAAUGAGUACAUGUUUAUGCUAUGACAGUGUCUUAUACUGCUUGUGAAUUGCUGCGUGUGUCAACAUCUAUUAUGGCAGGGGUAUAAAUUGAUUGUUGUGCUAUUUCUUUUAUGUAAUUGACAUAAUUAUAUGCUUAACUGUCAUUUGUCAUGAUUUUCCAAUGUAGUAGCAUUGAAGUGUUCUGUUUGAUAGUUAAUUGAAAUGCCUACAGGAACAAAAAUUACUACUUCUUGAUCUCAGAUUGGUAAUUUGAAUCUUCUAUAUGCAUUCUAAUUCUGUUAGGUUUCAUGUUAUUCCUAUAUGAAAUGAGUUUAAGAAUAUGCUGGAUAAACUCUGUUUUCUGUCAAGUUGGAAGCUUUCAUUAUAGGACAUGCUGGAGUUUUGGCCUUAGACCCUCUGUUAAAUAGAAAAGAGAAAGCAUAUCAUGGCCUAUUUAUUGUUGGCUAAAACAGACGUACUAAUUUAUAAUUAGCAAAGUGCAUGAAAACAAAAACCAAAUGAACUUAUGCCAAACGAGCGGGGUUGUGCUACCCGCGGUUUACGAUAAAUUGAUUGAGUAGUGGUGCUUUAUGGUAUUAUUGGUUGUAUUCUUUUGUGUACUCCGUGAUGAGUUUCUUUGUAGUGCUCCCUUUCGUGUACUUCCCGAUGGUAUGGGACAUCGUGGUAAGUUCUUGUGUUUAUGUUCUAAAGAUGGUUGCUGAUGAUUAUGGCAAGUAGAUACCUUGCGAUUGUGUAUAUGGCUUUACAUUUUCUAAAUGAUACUCAGUUGUUAUGGAGAUUAUGGAGUAUAUAGAGGUAGUAUGUCAUGUUAUUGUUUUAGUAGUAUAGAUGUGUUAUAAUGGUAUCGAAGCAGAUUCAGGUUCGAUCUUAUCCCUUGACUUUAAGAUUAUUGUCUUACUUUAUAUCGUCUUUACAUUAUAUUUGAGCUCAGUCGACCGAUGAUGCCUACUGAGUACCCGUGUUUUGGUACUCAUACUACACUUCUGUACCUUUUUGGUGCAGAUCCAGGUCCUAGUUGCCGCCGUUGAGCUAGUUCUUGCGAGUUGACUAUUCAGAGAUAGGCUGACCUCUUAGAGAUUGAGUUGCCCUUUUCCCCCUCUAUCCUUAUUUGUCUUUUACUUUUGAGACAAAUGUACGAGAUUAUUUAAGACAUUUUAGAUUCUGAGAUUGUAAAUUCCUCUUGUCAAAUUUAGAAGCUCUUGUAUUAAUACUAUCAGGUCGUGG